rnacentral:rRNA from 1 species
CUACGGGACGCAGCAGUGAGGAAUUUUGCGCAAUGGGCGAAAGCCUGACGCAGCAACGCCGCGUGAGUGAUGAAGGCUUUUGGGUCGUAAAGCUCUGUCAAUGGGAAAGAAAGUGUAUUUUGUUAAUAGCAGAUUAUAUUGACGGUACCCACGAAGGAAGCACCGGCUAACUCCGUGCCAGGCAGCCGCGGUAACACGGGGGGUGCAAGCGUUAUUCGGAAUUAUUGGGCGUAAAGGGCGCGCAGGCGGAAGUUCAGGUCAGAUGUGAAAGCCCGGGGCUCACCCCCGGAAGUGCAUUUGAAACCGAAUUUCUUGAAUAUGGUAGAGGGAAGUGGAAUUCCUGGUGUAGAGGUGAAAUUCGUAGAUAUCAGGAGGAACACCGGUGGCGAAGGCGACUUCCUGGGCCAAUAUUGACGCUGAGGCGCGAAGGCGUGGGUAGCAAACAGGAUUAGAUACCCCAGUAGUC